rnacentral:lncRNA from 1 species
AAAUCUUCCUAAAACUCCUGGAAUAUCAAUUUAAAGCCUAAUCCUAAAACACAAAACACGUCGGAAAUGGUUCAAACUCCUCCUAGGCAAUCCCUGUUCCUUCCUAUCCCCAACCAUACCACACAUAAGUCCCAAGCAUCCUCAAUCAUUGAGUAAAUCCCAAUCUGAGACCACAUUGAGGUCUCAGGACCUUGAAAGCCCUCCUGAACUUUUAGUAUUCAUUGUACACCGUCCUAGUAGGAUCGAAACCCCUGUAGAAGGGGUUAAGAGCUGAUGAAAGGGUCUAAACGGA